UAGCAGCCGCACAAACGCCACCCCCCCGCAGGCCAUGGGGUUGCCGCGCCUCCUCGCCUCCCUCUACUCCAGGCCCCUCUCUCGCGCUGCUGGGAGUAGUGGUCUCUAGCAGCUGCCCUCCCCUCAGUCAUUGCAUCAAUCUCCUGCUCCAUCUCUCUCCAACAUCCCCGCUCUCCUCUCGCAUCACACAGGCGGUGGCUAUACAUAUCUGACCGGGUGUGGCGUGCGUGGUAUCUGUGACGUGCUUCGCCUACCGGUUGUCCCUGAUGUGUGCGGCUGGAUGUGCAUCCCUGUUUAUGUGUGUGGCGCUUUACAUGCAGAGGAAGUGAAUGGUUGCAAGCAGAGGAAGCUGUUGGCCGUUGGCAAAGGAGGAUUAGGAUAGUUCUCUUGAUCUUGGUCAGAAAAAUUGGUAGUUCCCUUGAUUUGUUUUGUUCUGAAUUAGUACAAAAGUGCACUGAUAUUUGUUUUGUGCUGCAGGAGCUUCAAGACACCAGGUACCAAUUGCAACUUUCAUUUAUCUGUUGUGUGAACCAAUUUGUGAUGGCUUCUAAACACACUUGGCUGGAACAGAGCAAUUUUCUAUAGUCUUCAGCGACGAUGUGGUGCUGCACUGCUGCUCUCUUACUGCUAGCUUGCUACUUCUAGCUUAAUUUUGCUAUUGCUGCUAGCUGAAUUUUGCAUAGGCAUGGCAAGCUGUUUGAUUUCGUGGCUGGCCAGCUUAUCCUCAAUGUGUUCUGACUCGGAGGUCGGAGUUGAAGCUGACAACGGACUCAAGCACUCCACCAUAUUCUUAGUAUUGCAUACCGUCACCGCUGAGGGGUUAGCCAAGCUGCUUUUAGAAGUCAUAUAACAAUUAAGUGCUAGAUAUUGUCACAGAUAGAUUUUGAUGGAUAUGAAUUUAAUAAGCUACAAAGCAGUGUAGGUCGAGAUGAACAGAGAAUGGUAUGCAUAAUGUGUAACAAUAUUUGAUACAUUUACAUUGAUAGGUCUGGGAUCGUUGGAGGGUUGUAUGCUUUUGAUUGAUUAAGCUUAACACUUCUGCUCACUCAUUAUUUACUCUGUAUUCAUCAAAAAAUAUUUAUUUUUUACUAUAUCAUAUCAUAUUCGACAGACAGAGGCAGAGACGACCAUGGUUCUAGCUAAUAGCACUUGCUAACUUAAGAAGUCUACAUACCUUUUAUCUAACUAAAAGAGAGUUUCUUACCAACUAUUGAGCCUACAAGCUUUAGAUGUAUGUCUCUAAAGCCACUACUCAACUUCAUGUUAGUACUUUUCUGUAGAGCAUACCUCCAUAAUUCUCCAUCUAAGAUAGUACUAAAGUUUAUUGAUGAUGCUUAGUUUCAGGAUAUGCCUUACAAGCCAUCCAUGUGAGAAAUCCAAGAGGUUCAAGGCGUAUUGAAAAGGAGCUGGAGUAGGUAGGUGGUGGAUUGAGGAAGGGUCUGGAGCAGAGGCGGAAUCGAGGCUGCCCCUACAUGCGCUAAGGAGCUGCAAGGCGCCUGUGAUCCGGACACUGCUAUGUUUUCUCCUUCUCUCCAGUGCUCCUCCCCCUCCAGUGUAUUCAACCCACGGUGUAUCUUAUCCGCUCCCCUCCUAGCACGGCGGAGGAGGAGAGGGUGAGGGGCGGCGCCGCACUCUCCAACUUCUGUCUACACACCACCUACGCGCCGUCGUCCGUCCGGGUGGUCGGCGGCGGCUACCGCGCCCCGGAGGUGGCGUCUACUCCCUGGGCGUGCUCCUGCUGGAGCUCCUCAUGGCAAGUCCCCGACGCACGCGUCAGGGCGCCGGCGACGUACGUCCUCCUUCUCUUCUUUCACGAGACGGCUCCGGGCUUCGACCAAAUCCCGCCCAACUCGCCCAGAUCGAGGCCUUCAGGCUUUUGUGGAAUCCUCGUUCAACUCUCCGCCUCUACCAGAUCCACGCUGAGGGGCUUCGGCGCCAUCCCCCGGUGUGAUUUCCUCAUGGGUCCCGGCUUGAUCGAGGCCAAAGGCUUCGGCCGUCCGUCCACCAUGGCUGGGACCUGCGCGGAAACUGUAGAUGAAUUUAUACGAGUGGAAUCGACACUGCGGCAGGGUACGGUGGAGUCACAUUGUGCAGCCUCGGUGUCCCAAUCAGGGAUUCCUUCUAAGGAUGCAUAUAUUUUGAAGGGUGAGGGAUAAUGAUUUGGUUAAAGGCCUUCGGCCUCUUGCUUCACUGAACAUUUGUGUCCAUCGACCAAGUUGCAUAUACGGGAGAAGAUAAGCAAGUCCAAAGUGAUGUUCUAGCUGGGCCUCAACACCUUGUCCCUCUGACCACAACGCCCAACCAUGAUCUGGUCAGCAACCAAUUGUAACACUAUGCCUAGGUUCUGAUUAUAUCUACUUGAUGCAGAUCACAUGAGCAGAGGGGUUCAGCAACUCUUACUACUCCUGGCUGUGAAAGCUUCUGCUUACCUGCUUAUCCAUGGUCUUUUUGAGCCAUCCAAAUUGCAAAACGCAAGUCACCAACACCAAGAAUCAGGUUCCUGCCAGAGGAACCCAAAGCAGAGCAAGAGAAGGAAAACAACGGUGAAGAGGUUCUGUUGGAGAAAGGGCUGCAUCACAUACUUGCCACCAAGGCCAUGUUGUCGAGGAGCCUGUGAUUGCCGCUCCAGCUGCCUCUCGCGCCAUGGCCCAUCGCGUGGGGUGCAUUGUGAGAGUCUACAUCAGGCUCGCGUUGCCUCUCCAGCAGUGAUGCAGCACUCUAGGUAAUAGUUAGUAUUGGUGUCAACGAGAGCAACUAGAGUCGCUAGCUGUUAUGCUAAAAGCAACAGGAUGCAUCUUCUCCAUGCAAGAAGACAAUAAGGAUAAAGCAGCAAAGAGCAGGCCGUUGGUGGUGAUGGAUAAUUUCUCUAAUCAAUUAAAUCGUAGAUGCCCUCCAGCAUUGCACACUAAGAGAUUGCAUUGCUUAGAUAUAAUGGAAGGUGACUUCAGUUUUCAAGAAAGUUGAGGUGUCGUGAUUGUUAUUUUUUUAUGCAACAAUUACCUAAGCUUGCCUGGCAAGUAUACAUUCUGAAUUGUAUGUUCAGAUGAUAUUCACAUAUUUAGACUGAAUCGUUAAAUCUAGCA